rnacentral:lncRNA from 1 species
AUGAAGCCUACUAUGUGACAGUCACACUAUAUUAUCUAUAAUCAGCUAAUCACAUAUCUUCUUUUGAGAUAAAAGUACAAUAAAGACAUUUUCCUAAAAACUAUGAUGGGAUGGGUAAACUCCAGCAAUAUAUUUUGAUUGACUGGAGACACCACAUCAGUACUGUGACCGUCACAUUCUAAGCUUUUUCGAAAGGGGAGAAU